GGGCAGAGGAGGCCAGGAUGGGAAGAUGGAUGAGCACAGAUGAUGGAAUGCAGUGUUGCCUGAUUCUUAAUGUGGUACAGAGCAGAAAGAAUCACUGUCUAUUUUCUGUUUGCCAGAGAUCCUGAGUCUUUUGUUUGCUGAGAAUUUGAACCCAGGGCCUUGUGCAUGUGAGGCAAGCACUCUACCAACUGAGCUAUAUCCCCAGCCCUGUUUCCUUUCUUAAAUCGGGAUCCUGAGCAUGAAAAGGAAUGUGGCUUCCUGGAGGCCACACAGCUGGGUAAGGAGCAGAGCCAAGAGGGGCAGAAAAGCUCCUUGGAUCCUGCCGUGGUGUUGUCCCCACAUCCACAAUACUCAGGGGUCAAGCUUCUGCAAAGCUCUUCUGAUGUUCGUCAGCUUCAAAUUCUCUCCUUGGAAUAGGAUCUGUUAAUAUGGAGUCUUGAUAAGGUGGUUUUCUGGACCUCCAGGACUGUGGAUCCAAGACUCGAGACCAUGGUGAAUUUGUGAAAAUGAUGCUGUUCUGAAGAUUCAUUAUCAGUCCUGCCUUGGGACCAUUCUUCCUGCUCCUUCAUGUGCGGUGGCCCUUUCCUGCAGUCAGACUCCAACAGGUCACACUUCAAUGCUAGUGGCAUCUCCAAGCUCUCCAAUCCACAUGGAAACACUGUUCUUCCAUGGCAGGCAUGCUCUAGCAUUGAAGCUUCCGAGGCCGUGUCUGUCUUAUGCCGAGCUUAUGCUGGCACCUAACACAGUGCCAGGCAUAUAGCAGGCGUAAGUUAAUACGUGUUACAUAAUUUUAUACUCCCCCCCAAAUCUUAACAAGCCCAACCAGGAAGAAUUAGCUUAUCCUCCUUUUACAAACAAUAUGGAAACAAAGGAAUUAAAUAACCUACACCUUCUAAUGCAUUGCAUAUCAUUUUUUACUCUGAAACACUAUUUAAACUCCCAUCCUCAAAAAAAAAAAAAAAAAAGAAAGAGAGAAAAGAAAAGAAAAAUAAAGAAAGAAGUAAAACAAAAAGAAAGGCACUCCUUUGCACAUAUCCCAUCUCCAACAGUUUCAAAUCGUUUUAAUCUGUCACUAGUAGUGGAGAAGGUCAUGAAAUUUCUCAUUCCACAAAGGCAAUUUAAAAGAAAGGAAAACCAGAUAGUACAUUCAGAAUGAGGGAUAUUCUGAUGUCUAUUUUGAGGACAAGGUCAAUUCAAGGUUAGAAGACAAUGUAAGGAGUUGCCAAAAAUGAGAAACACUUCCUGUACUUUAGGGAUUAUGGCAAAAGUCCGACCUGCCUGAGACAUCCUUAGAAGUCUCCGACUUAAUGGUUCAGUAACUGAGCACAGUGAUCCGUUAAAAGAUGCCAUUUUUUUCAACACCGAACCACAAAGCAGCUAACCAGCUCCAUGAGAACGUCCCAGACCCCACCUGGCAAAGCCAGAGACAGUGACCACCUGUGGACUUGGGCAUGUUUCCUAUUUCAUCAAUUUCUGCUUUCACUUUAUUAGUUCUUUCUUUAUAGGUGUUUAGACAUAUAUUUUAGGUUUGUUUUACUGACAUCUUUUACCAUUUCUUCAAUUCGAUUAAAAAGUUUCCACUUCGAUUUCUUGUUGAUCAAUAAAUUGUAUGCAGUUCUGUGUGUGUGCAGGCUUGAGUUUAUAUUUAGAUGGCUACUUUGUUUUUGUUUACUUGUUUGAGGGGCAUCUAUUCUUAAGCUAUCUUUUAAUUUUAUUGCAUAAUGGUUAGUAAAUUCUAUCUAUAAAAUUAAUCUUUUGAAUUUGUCGUAGAUACAUUUUAUGAUGAUUGCACAUGUAUUCCAGAGUGAUAAAGAGACCAUUUAUGGGAACAAGUUUUCUGUAUAUUAUAUCAAAAUUAUCAGCAUGUUACUAAAGUUCAUAUAUUUGGUUUUUGUUUGCUUUUUUAUGGAGAGGUUUAUUCAAGUUUUCAACAGCGAUUUUGUUUCAGGUUUUUGUUUUGUAAUUCUCUCAACUUUUGAUUAACUAUUUUGUAUCUAAACUUGCAGCUGUACAGCAGUUAUUUCAGCCUGGCUUCCUUCAUCCACAGAGUGUCUUUGUUUCUUUCAAUUAUUUUCACUUCUGAUCUUAUUUUACAUGAUAUUGACACAACUGUGUUUUAUUGUCUAUUUGUUGUUAACCAUUUCUAACCAAGUAUUUUCAUUGUCUGUUCAGUGAAAAUAUUUUAUUUGUUACUUGAAAAAAGUCAAACGCAUAUGUUUUUAAAAUACA